CAAGGGCCUUAAACGUGCUGCUGGAGACGGCCCCAAGGCCGCGGGGUCCCCGGCUCGGCCGGCACCCCAGUUGCCCCGUCCGUGGCGCUGCUGGCCAGGACUGGCUGCACAGCCCCGGCCCUGGCGCCUCCCGGCCAGGCUCACUGCCUUCAGCUGUGAUAACGCAGUGCCGGGGAGCUGCAUGCUGUUGUUUUUUCCUUGCAAGCCUUCCCGUAAUUAAAAAUAACGAGGUGAGAGUGUGUUUCAUCCCGAGAUUUUUUCCAGUUGCGGGGUGUGUGCAGCACAUGCAAUUAUUUUGGGGAAAAAAGCAACAGAGGUGAAUUUUGACACACAGACAAUAUUUUGCAAGUUAUUGUUUACUGAAGAUUAAUUAUCUGCUAGGAGUUAUGCUUGUUUUUUAAUCACUAAGCACAUGCGCCAUGUAAAAAUGAAGGCGAGGCUGCACGCAGGGCCGGGGCAGCAGCAGGGCAGGGAGGCCACUGCUCCUGGGGCCUUCGCUGUGCUGCCGUUAGGUGAUGCUGAUGUGCUGCUGAGCUUCAGCUGGAGCCGUCUGCUCUAAAGAGGGAUAUAUAUAUAUUUUUCAAGUUUGGAAAUUCAGCUUUAAAAUUUCAAGUUCUCCUAUGUAAUAAGAGACUUGUUCACGCCCACUUUAACAACAUCCGCUGUGGGGCUGAGACUGAUGAAGAAAGGCUGCUGGUGUAGUGGCCCACGAGCACCGGGCAGCCCGGCCCGCGGAGACGGGGAGGUCUUCCACGGAGUCGCUGGACACAGAGAGGCUUUCGGUUGUCCCCCCGCAGCACCGAGAGAGGGGAGGAGACCAGGCCAGCGCUGCUCACGCUGCUCCUCGCCAUGGGGCCAGAGCUGGGGCCGAGGGGCCCCCAGGAGGGUCAGCUGUACAACACAGGCACAUGAACAGUAAAGUUCACAACUAUGAGCCUACAUGGCCCAGAACAAGGCAGACUGCAGGGCUGCAAGAGGACACCAACUUGCAGAGUCCCACCAGUGUAUUUGAAUUCUGAAUUCUGAGAUACUUUAUUAUUUUAGCGCAAUUUCUUUUUCUGAUCAUAAUGAAAAACGUCAACUAUUCAUGGAAGACAUAAAGACUCUAUUCUGCCUUUUGUUUUCAAGGAGUAAUGUAGUCAGUUCAUGCUCCUUUAAACAAUGCUAUUGUACAAAAUAUAAUGUUUUCUUUCAUAUA